AUACGGAGGGUGCGAGCGUUAAUCGGAAUUACUGGGCGUAAAGAGCGCGUAGGUGGCUUGGUAAGUCGGAUGUGAAAGCCCCGGGCUUAACCUGGGAAUGGCAUUCGAAACUGCCAGGCUAGAGUAUGGUAGAGGGAAGUGGAAUUCCGGGUGUAGCGGUGAAAUGCGUAGAUAUCCGGAGGAACACCAGUGGCGAAGGCGGCUUCCUGGACCAAUACUGACACUGAGGUGCGAAAGCGUGGGGAGCAAACAGGAUUAGAAACCCCGGUAGUCC
rnacentral:rRNA from 1 species